GACAAUAGCCCCCCGACGGCCUCCUGCAAGCACAGCGAGGUUCAUGCCGUCGUCUGCUGCAGUUCUCUAUUUUGUGUUUUUUCUGAAGAUAAAUGGAAGUGCAAAUGCAGUCCGCUAGUGAUUUGCUCUUGAGGUUCAUUUUACUUAUGUUUGCAGGAAAAAAGGGUGGUGUGGUUCGGUUGGAUGCCCCGUUACUAAAAAAUCUUGUUGAGAAACUGCAGUUUUCUGUAAAGAUAUAUGUUUGAGUAGUGUCCGAAUUUACCAAGGUGUUAGCUUUCUUAUUUAGGAAGAGGUUGUCAAGAAGACAAAAUCAGUUGGGAAGCUCAAACAAGAAGCUGAGAAUUGCCUAUAAUAGAGUGAAAGAUUUAACAACGAGAAGGCUGAGUUUGAGCAAGCUUCCUUCA